AACGAACGCUGGCGGCAUGCCUAACACAUGCAAGUCGAACGAGACCUUCGGGCCUAGGGGCGCACGGGUGCGUACCGCGGGGGAACCUGCCCUUAGGUUCGGAAUAACUGCCCGAAGGGUGUGCUAAUACCGGAUAAUGUCUUCGCACCAAAGAUUUAUCGCCUUUGGAUGGGGCCGGGUUGGAUUAGCUGGUUGGUAGGGUAAAAGCAUACCAAGGCGACGAUGCAGAGCUGGUCUGAUAGGAUGACACUCCGCAAUGGGACUGAGACACGGCCCACUCUCGUACGGAAGGGUGGAGUGGGGAAUAUUAGGGGCGGAGGGAUAGCCUAGUCCAGCAACGUCGGGGAUGAGGUCAAGGCCUUAGGAUUGUAAUUCCGUCUUUCACGAAAUGAUAAUGACAGUACCGGGUAAAUAAGCUCCGGCUAACUCCGUG
rnacentral:rRNA from 1 species